GAUGAACGCUGGCGGCGUGCCUAAUACAUGCAAGUCGAGCGAACAGACGAGGAGCUUGCUCCUCUGACGUUAGCGGCGGACGGGUGAGUAACACGUGGAUAACCUACCUAUAAGACUGGGAUAACUUCGGGAAACCGGAUCUAAUACCGGAUAAUAUAUUGAACCGCAUGGUUCAAUAGUGAAAGCCGGUUUUGCUGUCACUUAUAGAUGGAUCCGCGCCGCAUUAGCUAGUUGGUAAGGUAACGGCUUACCAAGGCAACGAUGCGUAGCCGACCUGAGAGGGUGAUCGGCCACACUGGAACUGAGACACGGUCCAGACUCCUACGGGAGGCAGCAGUAGGGAAUCUUCCGCAAUGGGCGAAAGCUUGACGGAGCAACGCCGCGUGAGUGAUGAAGGUCUUCGGAUCGUAAAACUCUGUUAUUAGGGAAGAACAAAUGUGUAAGUAACUAUGCACGUCUUGACGGUACCUAAUCAGAAAGCCACGGCUAACUACGUG
rnacentral:rRNA from 1 species